rnacentral:rRNA from 1 species
AUUGAACGCUGGCGGCAUGCCUUACACAUGCAAGUCGAACGGCAGCACGGGAGCAAUCCUGGUGGCGAGUGGCGAACGGGUGAGUAAUAUAUCGGAACGUGCCCAGUCGUGGGGGAUAACGUAGCGAAAGCUACGCUAAUACCGCAUACGAUCUAUGGAUGAAAGCGGGGGAUCGCAAGACCUCGCGCGAUUGGAGCGGCCGAUAUCAGAUUAGGUAGUUGGUGAGGUAAAGGCUCACCAAGCCGACGAUCUGUAGCUGGUCUGAGAGGACGACCAGCCACACUGGGACUGAGACACGGCCCAGACUCCUACGGGAGGCAGCAGUGGGGAAUUUUGGACAAUGGGCGCAAGCCUGAUCCAGCUAUGCCGCGUGCAGGAUGAAAGCCUUCGGGUUGUAAACUGCUUUUGUACGGAACGAAAAGGACUGCCUAAUACGGUGGUCCCAUGACGGUACCGUAAGAAUAAGCACCGGCUAACUACGUGCCAGCAGCCGCCGUAA